GGAAAUAUAUUAUCUAGAGUCCCGACCGGUACCCGUCCUACCUGAAACACCCUCAAAUUUUAUUCGAGGUGAACUCUCCCAAAUUCGAGGUGAACUCUCACAAAUUCUCUAUCGGUGAAUACAUGUGAGUGGAGAAAAAAAAGCAAAAUGGGGGAUUGGGCUAAAAAGAAACUUAUGGAAUUUUUGUGACCUGUCAAAAAUGACAAUCAAUUUCGCAAAACAAAACAAUGGGUUUCGGAUUUUUAGAGUAAGUUUUUGUUAAUUGUUUUGAUUUUUAAUAUAGUUUGAUAUUUUUCAGACCAAAAUUCUUUAUAAUGAAGAGGGUAUAUACAAGUCCACUUCAUUGAAUAAAAAUUAAGUCAAAUUGCAGUGAAGGAGGUGCAACAAUAAUGGAUUUAUUUUAUAUUCUUUCUUUUCAUUUUAGAUAGUGCCAAAAUGCAGGAAGCAAUUUCCUUUAAGUAAUUUGGAAAGCAAACCAAACAAGGCGCUGAUUUGCAGAUACUGCCCAUUGUUUUUGUAUGUACUUCUCAACUGCAAUAGCUGCCCCAGGUGUUGACGGCGGAGGUGUCACCAUCAAAACCAUUAGAAACAACACGAACAAGUCAAUGAUGCAAGUGGAAGUUUUGCCAUGUAAUAGUCGACCGCUGACGCCCUUCUCCAUCAAUUGUGUAAGUACGUAUCGAAACAUUCAUAUCGUAGUCAACUAGCUUAAUCUUCAUCUUCUAGGUGUAAAGAGUACUACCAGUCUGCAGUUCUGCAAGAGACGCAAACAAAACAAGAAUACAAUCGCAGGAAGAUUUCAAAAAAUGUCCAACCCUGACUGUAAGUGAGUUCAAAUUUUAAAUCUACAACGAAUCCAUUCAUUUUGCUCCUAAGGAUCGCACUGGCUUAACGGUGUCAAUCAUUCGGAGGCAAAUGAGCUGGCCCGACAAGAAUCCCCCAAGAAGCCAAACAGAUUCAGAUUAGUCUCUCGGCAGCUACUGACAAUGUCGGCGAAUUAAAUCCAUCGAUUUUCACACAGAAAAUCAACAUCAAAAAAAUCACGACAAUUCAGCAGCGUCAUGGUCAACCUGCCGAUCAACCAUUCACAGUGAACAACCUCUAUUCGUAGCAGAAGCGCUCUCUGCGUUGUCGACAAUGCGAAUACAAUGUCAUCAAGCCGGAGUACCAUCCAGGAUCGAUCAAGUAUCGCAUUCAAUUGUUUGCUAACUACCAUGUGCCAGACGUUCUGCUUGUGCGUUGUGAAAAGCCACUGAAGCCUGGCACGUCCACUGAAUUGAUCCUCAAGCUAACUAACCCAACGAUGUACCAUAUGACCACAACCAUUAUGAAACUGCUAACCAAGGAAGAAGAACGGCGAAUGAUCGACUUCGAAUAAAAGUUCAACGAAAGGA